GACGAACGCUGGCGGCGUGCCUAACACAUGCAAGUCGAACGGAAAGGCGCCUUCGGGGGUACACGGGUGUCGAACGGGGGCGGAACACGUGAGCAACCUGCCCUUGACUUUGGGAUACCAGCUGGAAACAGCUGCCAAUACUAGAUAUGACUUCUUCUUUCAUGGGUUGAGGUGGAAAGCUCCGGCCGUCAGGGAUGUGCUGGCGGCCUAUCAGCUUGUUGGUGAGGGAAUGGCUCACCAAGGCGUCGACGGGUAGCCGGCAUGAGAGGGCGACCAGCCACACUGGGACUGAGGUACGGACCAGAAUCGUACGGGAGGCAGCAGUGGGGAGUAUUGCACAGUGGGCGCACGCCUGAUGCAGCAACGCCGCGUGCGGGAUGACGGCCUUCGAGUUAUAAACAGCUUUCAGUAGGGACGAAGCUAACGUGACGGUACCUACAGAAGAAGGACCGGCUAACUACGUG
rnacentral:rRNA from 1 species